rnacentral:rRNA from 1 species
UGCGAACUCCUACGGGAGGCAGCAGUGGGGAAUAUUGGACAAUGGGGGCAACCCUGAUCCAGCAAUUCUGUGUGCACGAAGAAGGUUUUCGGAUCGUAAAGUGCUUUCAGCAGGGAGGAAGAAAGUGACUGUACCUGCAGAAGAAGCGACGGCUAAAUACGUGCCAGCAGCCGCGGUAAUACGUAUGUCGCGAGCGUUAUCCGGAAUUAUUGGGCAUAAAGGGCAUCUAGGCGGCCAGAUAAGUCCGAGGUGAAAACUGCCGGCUCAACCAGCAGCUUGCCUUGGAAACUACCUGGCUAGAGUAUUGGAGAGGUGGACGGAACUACACGAGUAGAGGUGAAAUUCGUAGAUAUGUGUAGGAAUGCCGAUGAUGAAGAUAGUUCACUGGACGAUAACUGACGCUGAAGUGCGAAAGCUAGGGGAGCGAACAGGAUUAGAUACCCUUGUAGUCCUAUC